rnacentral:rRNA from 1 species
AUACGGAGGAUCCGAGCGUUAUCCGGAUUUAUUGGGUUUAAAGGGUGCGCAGGCGGCCAUUUAAGUCAGCGGUUAAAUCGUGGGGCUCAACCCCAUUCUGCCGUUGAUACUGGGUGGCUUGAUUGCGGUCGAGGUUGGCGGAAUUCGUUGUGUAGCGGUGAAAUGCAUAGAUAUGACGAAGAACACCGAUUGCGUAGGCAGCUGACCAGAUCGCAAAUGACGCUCAUGCACGAAAGUGCGGGGAUCGAACAGGAUUAGAUACCCUGGUAGUCCGCACAGUAAACGAUGAAUACUUGUUUUCGGCGAUAUAAUGUCGGAGGCAAAGCGAAAGCGAUAAGUAUCCCACCUGGGGAGUACGCCGGCAACGGUGAAACUCAAAUGAAUUGACGGGG